rnacentral:rRNA from 1 species
GUGCCAGCCGCCGCGGUAAGACAGAGGGGGCAAGCGUUGCUCGGAAUUACUGGGCGUAAAGGGCGCGUAGGCGGGAUGGCAAGUCGGUCGUGAAAUCCUUCGGCCCAACCGAAGAACGUCGAUCGAUACUGCUGUUCUAGAGGGUUGCAGAGGAGACUGGAAUUCCCGGUGUAGCGGUGAAAUGUGUAGAGAUCGGGAGGAACACCGGUGGCGAAGGCGGGUCUCUGGGCAACUCCUGACGCUGAGGCGCGAAAGCGUGGGGAGCAAACGGGAUUAGAUACCCCCGUAGUCC